GAGAGUUUGAUCCUGGCUCAGGACGAACGCUGGCGGCGUGCCUAACACAUGCAAGUCGAGCGAGGAGAUUCCCUUCGGGGAUGAACCUAGCGGCGGACGGGUGAGUAACACGUGGGCAACCUGCCUUAUAGAGGGGAAUAGCCUUCCGAAAGGAAGAUUAAUACCGCAUAACAUUACAUUUUCGCAUGAAGAAGUAAUUAAAGGAGUAAUCCGCUAUAAGAUGGGCCCGCGGCGCAUUAGCUAGUUGGUGAGGUAACGGCUCACCAAGGCGACGAUGCGUAGCCGACCUGAGAGGGUGAUCGGCCACAUUGGGACUGAGACACGGCCCAGACUCCUACGGGAGGCAGCAGUGGGGAAUAUUGCACAAUGGGGGAAACCCUGAUGCAGCAACGCCGCGUGAGUGAUGAAGGUCUUCGGAUCGUAAAGCUCUGUCUUCAGGGACGAUAAUGACGGUACCUGAGGAGGAAGCCACGGCUAAC
rnacentral:rRNA from 1 species